rnacentral:hammerhead_ribozyme from 1 species
AUCUAACUGAUGAAUCUCAGAUAGGACAAAACGCGAGUCCUGGAU